GAUGAACGCUGGCGGCGUGCUUAACACAUGCAAGUCGAACGGAACACCCUUGAAGGAGUUUUCGGACAACUGAAAGGACUGUUUAGUGGCGGACGGGUGAGUAACGCGUGAGUAACCUGCCUUGGAGUGGGGAAUAACAGUUGGAAACAGCUGCUAAUACCGCAUAAUGCAGUUGAGUCGCAUGGCUCUGACUGCCAAAGAUUUAUCGCUCUGAGAUGGACUCGCGUCUGAUUAGCUAGUUGGUGGGGUAACGGCCCACCAAGGCGACGAUCAGUAGCCGGACUGAGAGGUUGGCCGGCCACAUUGGGACUGAGACACGGCCCAG
rnacentral:rRNA from 1 species